GGGAGCCCCGAGGCAGCCCCUCAGCAUGGCUGGGUAUGGGUGGGGGGCCUUGUUUGGCACCCCCCCGCAGCCCACCACCGCCCUUCUCCAUCUUUGUGUGGGCUGGAAGGGGUGGUGGAUUCCCAUUGCCAUGGGAACGUGGCAUUUUGCAUGCCAGCCCGCAGCCUUCCCUGGCAAUGUGGGAUUGUUUUGCUGGGAAAGGAGGGUGGUAUGGACGUGGGAAGAAGAGCUUGGGCUUGGCUCUGCUGGAGGAGAGAAGAGAUUCCCCUUCCCCAAAAGCAUAGAAGUCACAGUCCUCACCAGUGCAGCCUGCACCAAUUCACUCAAGAACCCAGAGCUCACCUUUGUUAAGGAGGUGGUAGUAGGACCAGUGGGGACAGCACUGUGAUGCCACAGGCCACAAGCCUUCUGCUUUAGCCCCAGGGUUGGUGGCAGAAAGGACACAACCAAAAACCAUUCCCUUCUGCCUCCCAUCACUACGAUGGGAAGGGUCUAAGCAGAGCUGCUCCUGCAAAGGCAAAAUGUCUUUGAGGCCUGAAGGCAGUCAGGCAAAAGACAUCUCCCCUGCUCUUGGGCAAGGAGAUGGCAGCACAAGGGAGCUGCUCGCCCUCAAGUUUGGAUCCUAAGGCAUCCCAGGAAGGAGCACAGGCAUGCAGGGGUCCUGCUUGGUCCUCACCGCCUCCCAUCCCUGGCUGGGCUCUGCAAAAAGGGCUGGCUUGGUGAAAGACGAUAUGGGCAGCCAUAUUCUGCUCCAGCAGAACCUGAUCCCAGGUGACAUUCAAGUGCUGAGGUUUUGCAAACUGACUGUGCAGGGGAGUUUUGCUAAUUCCACAAAAUCCAGGCUGGGGCUGCUGGCUCGCUGAGUGGGCUGCAAGGCAUGCUGCCCCAAAUGGGGUCUGACACCCAGGCUGGCCAAGGACUGCACCCAGCUGCGUGCAUGCAUCAACAUGAUAAGGGCGAGCUGAGGUGGUACAGACCCACAGUGCUGAGCAAAGGAGCAAAGGCAUGGCAGACUGGCACAGAAGGCCAACGUUAGCAAGACUGAAAACAGAUUGGUGCCAUGCAAAUUCACAGAAACACUGCCUGCAUGUUGCCACGAUGUCACGGUGCAAAAGAAACAGAAGCCCAAGGCUUGCAUCCAGACAGGGCUGUGAUGUGGGGCAGUGCGUGUAACAGCAUGCACGCCGAUGGGUUCUUUUCCAUUUAGCCCCACAUUUUCACAAGCUGUCUCCUCCACUUCCCCCCUAGUAAUGCAAACAUAGGCAAGCAGAGAAUUCACACUCAGAGGGCAGUUUCAGAGACAAGCUGUUGCCCAAGUACCAUUGCAAGUGAUGUCAGCUCCCUUUAAAACUCUGGUUGCUAGUGCUGUGGAGGCAAGCGUGAUUGUGCAGUUUCUGGGCAGUGCUGGCAGCAAGCAUCCUGCAUAGGUGAUUUGCAGAAGGCUCUUUGCAGAGGUUCUCCAGCUGGAUGCUCCCUUCACUGCAGACUGCAGUCUGGAUGCCAUCCACAAAGCAGAGAAAAUCAGACUCAAAAAUCAGACCCCAAGUCAUACGUAACGUGGGGGCAAGAGGAAAAAAGAGUGGGGGUGAGAAAAUCUAAUGAGAGGCAGACAGAGAGGGGGGGGGCAGGCAGUGACAGACAGACAAGCACAAGCAGGGGAGGGAGGCAGCUGAAUAGAAUGCAGCAGUGCAGGCAGGUAUCAGCAGGCACGGCCAGCCCUCCUGUGAGCCCAGGUCAGCCAAACUGCCCCCCAUUCUGCAGUGAAAUCCAUCUGGAGGGGAGUGUGGGGAGUCCUCCUGCUGUGCUGAGGUGCAUCAGGGGCAGCACUGCUCCUGCAGCACCAGGGCAGCGCCCAGCAGCUGCGGCACAAGGCUGGGAGCGGAGGCACAGAGGAGGACCAUGACUCGGGUGUCUGGUGCUGCUGCAGCAAUUAAAACCUGGCCUUGCCCCAAAGCACGUCUGCUGCAGCACAUUGCCCUUCCAGGAGAAGGCUGGGUGCACAUCCUUCUGAGGAAGAACACCUCUCCCCUUCUCUCAUCCUUUCCCAAGGCACGGAGAAAGAGCCUCUCUCCCUCCUGCUCAUGAAUCACUGCGAAGCUGAAUGCUGUGGGUCUGAUUCAAACCCUGCCCACACUGCAGCCUCUCCCUACCAGUAACCGUCCACUGCUAUUGCUGGGAAUGGGAGGCAGGAGGGCCUGGCCACCAUCUCCCAAGGAGAGGUCCUUGGCCUCCUCCACAAGGCUGUUAGAGCCAGAGUUAUGGGAUGGAAGAGCAAGAGAGGGCAUCCGAGAACCACUGCAAUCGAUCCAGCUGUGCCUCCAAGGAUGCAAAUGCCCACCUGCCAGGCAGCACAGGGCUGUGAAAGAUUUGUGCCUAUUGCACAACCCAGACCCUUCCAUCACCGCUCGCAAUAGAUGAAGAAGGGAGGCUGCAGAAGAGCUUUGCCCUUGAUUGGAGAGACAGAGCAGCCCCUGGGAGCCCCACGGAUGCUAUAUGGAGCACGGCCCAGAUACGAAGCCCAUGGGCUUUGUGGCACCACUGCACAGAGCAGGGGUGGAGGAGACUGCACUGCGUGCAGCACAGCCACAGAAACAGGGUGGGCAGGGCUCCUGCUGCAGCACUGCUGGGGAUGCUGCGCUCCUAGCAGCCCUGUGAGCCCGGUGAAGGGGAGGGAUGCCUCGUGCAAAGCCCCAGCGUUGGCAGGGAGGUUUGCUAUAGGAAGAUUUGCCCAUGGCACUGGGUGGCUGGGAUGUGGUGACGUGCACUAGGCAGGAGCAUAUGAGAUAUUGUCUCUGAAAUCAAGGAGCUGCAGGUCCUGGGUGGGACUUGGAUGGGAACUGCUGCUGGGCAGCAAAAGCUUCAACCCCCCAGUGGUCAGGAGUGAGGCCACCAUCCGUCCCUGAGGAGUCAGUGGCUUUUAGCUGAACUCUGAGCCUGAGGUUAUGAUUACUGUGUAGAGUGCUGAUUAUUAACAAUUUGACCUGAUCCAUAGCAAUUCCAGGUAACAACAAAGCUAUGCUGAUGACUGAAAAUUCUUUGUAACUAUAAGCUAUACUCAUAUCAGUCAUGCUCAUGACUGUAGAUAACAAUAAUCUACUCAGAAUGCCAACGUUUGUAUGUGAUAGUACAACUCCAAUUAUAACCACGGCUCUAUGGGCUGUCCUCACUACCAAGGACCCCUAAAAGAACCUCUCUGCUCCCACAGCAUUGAGUGAUACCUCCUUGAAGGAAGGCCUCUAUCAAUGAGCACAGAUGAUAGCAUCAGAUCCCACAUAGUGGAUGCCUGCUUUAUCUGGCACUGCUGCCAUCCCACCCCCCUGGGACCUGGGAACCCACCAGGCACAAUCCCUAUCCUACACACAGUCCUCCUGCCCUACCAGAGCACAGCAGCCCUCCUUGCAGACCACCUUCUGCCUCAAGCCUUCCUGUCUGGAGCUACGAAAAUCUUCCUGCAGGAGGCUUAGAAAUCCUCGUGGGAGCCAACCAGGAUAACAGGAGCCUGGAAGAGGGGGCUGGUGGGGGCACGGAGCUCUAUGCUCACUCCAUCUGCUCCCCAGCCUCAGCAGGAGAGGAGCUGCACUGCCUGCGUCAGCCGCCUCCUCCUCAUUGCCUCCCAUUGCAGCGUGUGCUGCAUCCUGCUGGUGCUUGGCAGGGGUUGGGUUUUUCCCACACAGCUGCUGGCUGCCGGAGCUGCUCUCCGUAUUGAGCAAACCUGCUCUGUGCUGAGCUUACAGGGAGACUCAGCCCUAGGGAAGGAGGGGCAUCUCUGUCAAAUGGACCUGGCUGGCGUGGCAGACGGCUGCUAGCUCAGUUUGCAGAUCUAGGUCUGGUGCUUGCAGGGUGAGGCCAAGGGGCCUGUGUUCAAACUCCCUGUCCACGUCUCUUCAUAGCUGAUUUGAUGUAGACAGAGAGCUUGAACUGGGAAAAGGUGCUGUUUCAGAGGGUGGAGCUUCCCUGCUAACACCUGCUGAACCCAGUGACACCCAGCCCUCACUAAGAUGGGAUUCAAGGGGAGCUCACACAGGGUGAUGCUGGGUUGUAUGACAUUACAGGACCCGGACAGUCAGCUGAUGCUCAGAGCUACUGCAGACUGCUCUGUUAUGGGGGAGUUUAGCUGGAAAAGAGGAAGCUGCUGAGCAGAGAAACGGUCUCAGAGCACAGCGCUGCUUCUGCCUUCCAUUCUCAGCCAGGCUUUCUGCUCUCUGUCUCAGGAGAGAUGAAUAAUGCAAGCUACAGAAAAUGGAAAUAGCUUCCCUGAAGUUUCUCCUCCUACCUGCUGGGCCUUCAGGAAUGGAAACUGUUUAUGAGCAUUGCUUAUUUAUGAAGAAAACCAUCAGGACAGGAUGGUUAACUCUCAGCAUGCAGGCUCCCAGAGAAGAGCAGCCAAGUGGAAGCAGAUGCCUGCAGGGACGCAGGGUGCCCCUGUGGUCUGGGCCAGCUGCAAAGCUCCUGGCUCUGGGAAGAGGCCAACCCUCUGAUUUGCAAAAAUGGGUCUAGGAGACCUCGCUGAUGGAGACAGCGCAGCCAGCAGCCGUCAAUGAGCUUUUGUAAAGAGGAAUUCCGCUCGCUUGGAAAACUUCAUCUGAUUUCAUCGCAGCCCAUAAGCACUGCCUGCUCUGUAACCACAAGGAGCAAAACAGAACACCUUAAAAUAAGAAAGUAAUGGGCAAAGCCCCACGAAGGAAGGAACUGUAGGCACCGUGGCCAGGCAGUGCUGUCUCUUUGCAAGAUCCCACUUAAGCAUUGCAAUAGAUGUCAAUCGACUCGCUUAAAUGACAGCAAAUCCCCUCACCAGGAGCUUCCCAUCAAAGCUGUCGCUCAUGAAACAGUGGGUUCAUUCCAAACCCUUCAUAUCUUAAUGGGCUAAGCAGGGAUGUGGAUACUGGGGCAAGCUUUGCUGCUCUUUUCAGAGCCUGUUUUCUCUGCUACUGACAGCUGACAAACGGUGCAGCCACAUGCUAUGCACUUCUGUGCCAUCACUAAAACAAGCAGUACAACAAAUGAGGAUCAAAUGCAAUCUUUGAAAGCCCUUGAUUGGAAAAGAGAAGUGCUCACAGAAUGUCUGUGUUUACCAGAAGAAAUCUCCCCGUGACUCUUCAGGUACUCAGCUGCUCAUGUUCAGCAUGGGAAGCUCCACCACACUUGGCUAAGC
ensembl:lncRNA